rnacentral:rRNA from 1 species
UUCAUGGAGAGUUUGAUCCUGGCUCAGGACGAACGCUGGCGGCGUGCCUAAUACAUGCAAGUCGAGCGGACCGACGGGAGC